rnacentral:rRNA from 1 species
AUGAAGCAAAAGAUUGUGAUCAAGGUGAGCAUGUCAUGCGACAAGAGCCGGUCGAAAGCCAUGACGAUGGUCGCCAAAGCGAACGGGGUGAGCUCGGUGGGGAUAACCGGCGACAGCAAGGACAUGCUGGAGGUGGUCGGCAACGGCGUCGACCCGGUGUGCCUCGUCGGCUGCCUCCGCAAGAAGUACCACGACGUUCACCUCGUCAAGGUGGAGGAGGUGAAGGACGACAAGAAGAAGGAUGAGAAGAAGGAGGACCCGCCGCCGUACUGGUACCACCACCCAUAUGGGCCAUACCCGCCUCACAUGGUCGUGUGCGACGAGCCCACCACCCCCUGCGCCAUCAUGUAA